rnacentral:lncRNA from 1 species
GGAAGGAAGGAAGGAAGGAAGGAAGGAAGGAAGGAAGGAAGGAAGGAAGGAAGGAAGGAAAAAAUGAAGGAAACAAAGAAAUAAAUGUUAGUGACUCCUGGCUUCUGAUUGAAGGGGCACACUUCAUUGCCUCUCUGGCCCUCUACUUGAGACUGCUGAGACAUGCUGGCAUCUUUAAACUCCUUGGCACAGUUCUAUACCUCGAGGGUAUCAGGAAGUCAGUGAAGUCUGCAGAGGAAAAGUAUUGUCAUUUUAAAUCCUUUUCCCUUCACUCUCUCAAUAGAAGGCUGGACAAACUUUAUUCAAAGUAAAAGUCACAUUGCACUGCUCUGUGAGAUCUUUAACCCACUGUCUCCUUGGGAGAAGCACAAUUUGAAUACUUAUGUAGUUUCUAAGCCUUUCUUUGACUCACUUUCUUCCUCCUGUCUCCAAGUUUCCCACUGGGGUUGUCUCUGUUCUUCACUGUCACCUGGGUACCCACUUAUGGACUUUAUUUUCAGCUCUCUAUUAUUAUUUUAAUAUAGUAAAAAUACUAUUAACAAGUCACCAUAAAGAAUUACUUUCAAAAGGGCAUAUUAUCAACCAGCUUUAGUGUCUUUGCAUGGCCAUUCUGUGUCCUGAAGUUCUAAAUGAGUUAUCUAAGUUAAUAUAGGGUAGUUAUUCCCACAUUAUUCCCUCUGCUGAAACAUGACAUUUUAACAUAAUAUUGUAUCUUGAAUCAUGUCUUUUCAUGUGCAGCUACAAUAGGCUGUCUCAGCUAAGCCUGUUUUGCUCUGCUGGUAUGAACUGAGAGCCUGAGAUAAGCUGGGCCAGCACAUCACGCAUGAGAUGCAUCCUCAGACCUCUAAUUUUAAUUGCAAGGCAGGGUCUCACUAAGUCGUUCAGAUGGCUGUGAACUCUCUGUUCAAUCGAGACAACCCUCAAUCCCAUGAACAUUCUGCCUUAGCCUCAUGAGUGGCCAGUGUUACAGGCCUGUGUCACCACUGGAGAUAUGGCGCAGCAGUUCAGAGCACUUGGAGUUAUUGCAGAGAAGCUGUGUUUAAUUCCCAGCAUCACAAGGUGGCUCACAAGUAUGAAACACCACUUGCAGGUGAUCAUCCUGCAUCCUUUUCUAACCUCUGCAAUCACUGGGCAGUUUGGAAGCAGAUUGCAUAAAUACAAGUAAAAAUACUCAUAUAAAAAGUAAAAAGGCAUAACAUCUCUAAGAUUAAAAUAAAAGUGGGUCCCUGACAACGGGUAACUCAAAGGAGACAGAGAAGUUAAACUCUAAACAAACUCACAUCUUGGCACACUUACAAAUAUAUAAUGAAGGUAUCAAGUCAACUAGGCAAUUUCCUUGAAUGCAGAAUAAAGUUUUAGAAUAGACAUGUUCAUUUCAGAUCAUAAAUGACAAACAUAUUUGUUAUAUAAUGUGUUUGUACCUGAUAUAUUUUCUGGAAAUUGUCAGAGAGAAGCAUGGAAUAUAUGUGUGAAAUGUGUAUGCAAAUGUUAUAUGAACAUAUAUUACAAAGAGGUAUUUGAUAGUAUAUGUGCAUAUGUAUGUAUGUAUGUAUGUAUGUAUGUAUAUAUGUGUGUGUAUACUGCCUAUACUGCAGUACAGCAUUUUGAAUAUACAUAUUUCCUUUGGUAAUAUGAUGGAAUCCCCUACAAAUAGCAAAAUGCUCUAAAGGUCAAGGCUUUAUGAAAUGAUCCAGUAUUUGCAAUCAACUUAUUUAACCUUUCAGUAUACUUUAAAGCAUGUCUACAUUACUUGAAAUACCUAAUAUAAUAUAAGUGCCCUUCAAAUUGUACUGUACUAUUGAGGGACUAGGCCAAGGAAAAUUUUAUGUUUGUUUUUUAGUGUUGGAGGUAGUUUUUUUUUCCUGUUUUCUAUCUGUGCUUUGCUGAUUCUGGUAAUUUGGAAGCCAUAUGAAUGAUGGGAAAACUUUAUUCUUCUUUAUUCAUUUGUCCACAAUAUAAACUAUAGCAGCAGUUUUUGUUUUUGUUUUUGUUUUUGUUUUUGUUUUUUUCUGUCAGCCAGUGAGGACUCUUUAACUUGGUACUAUAAUUUUGUUCAGUCAAUGGAUACUUGGUAGCAUUUUUCUGAUUGAGUUCUCUCUCUCUCUCUCUCUCUCUCUCUCUCUCUCUCUCUCUCUCUCUCUGGUGUGUGUGUGUGUGUGUGUGUGUGUGUGUGUGUGUGUGUGUGUGUGUGUGUGCAACGAUGUGUAUGUGACUCUAUUUCUCUUGCUUUUAUUUCCUGUGUAUCCUGGUACCUAGUUUUCCUACAUAAUUUUUUUUGUUUGUUUAUUGGGUUCUACACUGUGCAUUUCCCAUUUUCUGUUUUUCAGUGCAACUCAUUAACAUCCUGUGUUUUACAAUGUUUCCUACAUAAUUAACAGGACAUAUCCUGAAGCAGAACUUAAUAGGUAUUGCAACGUCUAAUAUUUAGAUGCUGAAAUAUAUGUAUUACAAUUAAGUUAGGAUCUUUUUUAAAGAUUUGACUAAGAACAUAGAAGGCUUGCCUGGAUUCCUGGAUUGCAUUAACAUAAAACAAUCUAAUUUAAUCAAUAAUAGGUGAUUUCACCACCACUGAGGCCCAUGGAACAGCUGCAGAAAUGGGAGCUCAGAAAAAUUCUGGCUGGUGAUGUUUGUUGUCAUCAGAAGAUCUGGUAAAUUUUUCAAAAUAGAGUAAUAGAAAAACUUUUCAAAAUAUAGUAAUAGAAAAAAUUUUCUAACCAUGCUUUGUAACUGUACAGAUGCCUGUGAAUUAUAUAACACACUCCCCCAAAAAUGUUUAAUAUAAAAACAGAAUUCUGUGUAUACAUCUGUGGGUCUUUGACAGUGGGGGUGCCUUGUCUGGGUCUGGGUAGAAUGGCAGUGAUACUGAGACAGAGCAGGAAUGGAUUCAGCAAUUUGACAGGAUGAAUAUGUGUUCAUCAUGAAAUAAUGACAACUUCAAAUUGGUUGCAUGCUUUGUCUUUGGGUUAUUUUAUUAUCUAUCAAUUUAUUUUAGUACCUACAAAAGGUCUGAAAUUUUAAAUAUGGUAGAAACUAAUCUUUAAACCUUGGUCAGGUUUAGGCUUCUGAGACCUGAAAGCCCCCAUACAGGUGAUAGACUUCCUCCAACAAAGUCACGCCUACUCCAACAAUAGUUUGAGGUGUUGGAGUCAGCUGAGAGAACUGUAUGCAUAGGAUAUAGAGAAAUGAAUAGCUAGAAUCAGAAUCAUAACUCCCAAACAAAUGUUUGAACUCGGAGAAGACCAAAAUUCAGUACCAACUCUCUUGAUCUUCAGUCAUAUGGAAAGAUUUCUAAGAGAUGGGAAUCCCCAAACUCAAGCCAUAUGCAUUCCAAGGGCAUUCUUGUACUUGCUAUACUAGAUAGAAGCAUUGAUUGGUUAUUUUAAGGCAGCACCUAUAGAAGCUGUUACCCACUCAAAUGUAUUAUCAAUAAAUCAUUUUUAUUUAGCUGUUUCUACUGACUAUGAGAAAAUUGUUUCCAGUAGUGUAGUCGAUUUCAAGACAUUAAAUGCUUGGUGGUUGUAUCCCCUUUGAAUAAUAUGAAGAGUCAUUGUAUUAUGGGCCAGUGAUUUGGUAAAUUUAAUUAUGUAAAUCAAAGCUUUUUUGACACUUAGACAUGCAAAAAGACCAUAGGGCUAUUGAAUGUUUAUGGACAUUCUAAGCACUUAAUUUUGUUCAUCAAUUAAAGCUUUCUCUUGUGUAGAUAGCUUGGUAAUGGAUGAGGAUGUAUAAUUUCUUUCCUUAUAAAUAUGAAAGUCUGAGUGAGUAAAGGCGCAUUUCAUAGGAUGUAAGUUACUGAAAUUUCUCAACAAAAGUAAUGAGAAAUGAGUGAUUGACUAACCACAGAAAUAAGAAUCUUUAAACAAAUAGCCAGAUUUCUUUUAAUUGCAAACACAAAGUUAUCUGUAUUAUCUGUGGGAAGCCGCCCCCACAUUCGCCGUCACAAGAUGGCGCUGACAUCCU